rnacentral:rRNA from 1 species
AUUGAACGCUGGCGGCGUGCCUAACACAUGCAAGUCGAGCGGAUGAAGGGAGCUUGCUCCUGAAUUCAGCGGCGUACGGGUGAGUAACGCGUGGAUAAUCUACCCUUGAGUUUGGGAUACCAGUUGGAAACGACUGUUAAUACCGGAUAAUAUUUAUUUAAAUCAAGUAAGUCAAAGGCGGUGUAAGCUGUCGCUUGGGGAUGAGUCCGCGUUUCAUUAGGUAGUUGGUGAGGUAAUGGCUCACCAAGCCUUCGAUGAAUAGCCGGCCUGAGAGGGUAAUCGGCCACACUGGGACUGGAACACGGCCCAGACUCCUACGGGAGGCAGCAGUGGGGAAUAUUGCGCAAUGGACGAAAGUCUGACGCAGCGACGCCGCGUGAGGGAUGAAGGCCUUCGGGUCGUAAACCUCUGUCAGGAGGGAAGAAACCGUUUGGUAGUAACUGACCAGACCUUGACGGUACCUCCAAAGGAAGCACCGGCUAACUCCGUGCCAGCCGCCGCAGUAAAAC